CCCGGGCACACACCUGCAGCUCGUUGAGAAGGCUCCUGCCCUGGAUAUAAGCAGCAGCGCCACUCCGUCUCAUCGCCUGAGUGUUUGCUCACCUCGAUAUCCAGCUGUCUUCCCGUUGUUCCCCGAGACCAGUUACCCCGAGUCUGUGUGAGUCUGUCUCCCYGUUGUGGAUCACCUGCCUCCUGUGUCUUCCCCCGACGCUACCGGUGUUGCCGGUUUUGACGCCACCCCUCGUGUGCUCGUCUUCUCCCUG